rnacentral:rRNA from 1 species
AGUGGCGGACGGGUGAGUAACGCGUGAGAAUCUGCCUUGGGGUCGGGGACAACCACUGGAAACGGUGGCUAAUACCGGAUAAGCCGAUUGGUGAAAGAUUUAUUGCCCGAAGAGGAGCUCGCGUCUGAUUAGCUAGUUGGUGAGGUAAGAGCUCACCAAGGCAGCGACCAGUAGCUGGUCUGAGAGGACGAUCAGGCACACUGGGACUGAGACACGGCCCAGACUCCUACGGGAGGCAGCAGUGGGGAAUUUUCCGCAAUGGGCGAAAGCCUGACGGAGCAAGACCGCGUGAGGGAGGAAGGCUCUUGGGUUGUAAACCUCUUUUCUCAGGGAAGAAGCUCUGACGGUACCUGAGGAAUCAGCCUCGGCUAACUCCGUGCCAGCAGCCGCGGUAAUACGGAGGAGGCAAGCGUUAUCCGGAAUUAUUGGGCGUAAAGCGUCCGCAGGUGGCGAUUCAAGUCUGCUGUCAAAGCACGGGGCUUAACUCCGUAAAGGCAGUGGAAACUGAAUAGCUAGAGUGCCGUAGGGGUAGAGGGAAUUCCCGGUGUAGCGGUGAAAUGCGUAGAGAUCGGGAAGAACAUCGGUGGCGAAAGCGCUCUACUGGACGGCAACUGACACUCAGGGACGAAAGCUAGGGGAGCGAAUGGGAUUAGAUACCCC